rnacentral:rRNA from 1 species
AUACGGAGGGUGCAAGCGUUGUCCGGAUUUACUGGGUUUAAAGGGUCCGUAGGCGGGUCUUUAAGUCAGUGGUGAAAUCCUACGGCUCAACCGUAGAACUGCCAUUGAUACUGAAGAUCUUGAGUAUAGUUGAGGUAGGCGGAAUUUAUGAUGUAGCGGUGAAAUGCAUAGAUAUCAUAAAGAACACCAAUUGCGAAGGCAGCUUACUAAACUAUUACUGACGCUCAGGGACGAAAGCGUGGGGAGCGAACAGGAUUAGAAACCCGAGUAGUCC